AUUGAACGCUGGCGGCAGGCUUAACACAUGCAAGUCGAGCGGAAACGAUUCUAGCUUGCUAGAAGGCGUCGAGCGGCGGACGGGUGAGUAAUGCAUGGGAAUCUGCCCGAUAGUGGGGGACAACCUGGGGAAACUCAGGCUAAUACCGCAUACGUCCUACGGGAGAAAGCAGGGGAUCUUCGGACCUUGCGCUAUCGGAUGAGCCCAUGUCGGAUUAGCUUGUUGGUGAGGUAACGGCUCACCAAGGCGACGAUCCGUAGCUGGUCUGAGAGGAUGAUCAGCCACACUGGGACUGAGACACGGCCCAG
rnacentral:rRNA from 1 species